rnacentral:rRNA from 1 species
UACGUAGGGUGCAAGCGUUGUCCGGAAUUAUUGGGCGUAAAGAGCUCGUAGGCGGUCUGUCGCGUCGGAUGUGAAAAUCCAGGGCUCAACCCUGGACCUGCAUUCGAUACGGGCAGACUAGAGUUCGGUAGGGGAGACUGGAAUUCCUGUGUAGCGGUGAAAUGCGCAGAUAUCAGGAGGAACACCGGUGGCGAAGGCGGGUCUCUGGGCCGAAACUGACGCUGAGGAGCGAAAGCGUGGGGAGCAAACAGG